rnacentral:rRNA from 1 species
GAUGAACGCUGGCGGCGUGCCUAAUACAUGCAAGUCGAGCGAACGGACGAGAAGCUUGCUUUUCUGAUGUUAGCGGCGGACGGGUGAGUAACACGUGGAUAACCUACCUAUAAGACUGGGAUAACUUCGGGAAACCGGAGCUAAUACCGGAUAAUAUUUUGAACCGCAUGGUUCAAAAGUGAAAGACGGUCUUGCUGUCACUUAUAGAUGGAUCCGCGCUGCAUUAGCUAGUUGGUAAGGUAACGGCUUACCAAGGCAACGAUGCAUAGCCGACCUGAGAGGGUGAUCGGCCACACUGGAACUGAGACACGGUCCAGACUCCUACGGGAGGCAGCAGUAGGGAAUCUUCCGCAAUGGGCGAAAGCCUGACGGAGCAACGCCGCGUGAGUGAUGAAGGUCUUCGGAUCGUAAAACUCUGUUAUUUGGGAAGAACAUAUGUGUAAGUAACUGUGCACAUCUUGACGGUACCUAAUCAGAAAGCCACGGCUAACUACGUG